rnacentral:misc_RNA from 1 species
GCGAGGCCCGCCGAUGGGGCGACCAAACACGCCGCAGAACCCACAGCCGGCGAACUUCGGUGAAGAAGAAUCCCCCGUGCUCGGCGACGGCGACGGGGAUAUUGCCUCCAUCCGGUAGGCGGCGGAAGAUCGGGUUCGUUCGAAGGUGGGGCCGCCCGAUCCGACGUUUCGAGGUCUUAACUCUCCGGAAAGAAAAACCACGUCGUGUUCUUCAUGGCGGCGCUUUGUCGGUUUCAAUUCACCGCUGAAGAAUCUGUCGUCCCAGACCAAGCCGGAGGAGCCCUGUCGCCGGAACGACACGGCGGACCUCUGCAACCCAGCCAUGGUUAUUCUAAAAUCUGGAUCCAAUAA